rnacentral:rRNA from 1 species
CCUACGGGUGACAGCAGUGAGGAAUAUUGGUCAAUGGACGAGAGUCUGAACCAGCCAAGUAGCGUGAAGGAUGACUGCCCUAUGGGUUGUAAACUUCUUUUAUAUGGGAAUAAAAUGUUCCACGUGUGGGAUUUUGUAUGUACCAUAUGAAUAAGGAUCGGCUAACUCCGUGCCAGCAGCCGCGGUAAUACGGAGGAUCCGAGCGUUAUCCGGAUUUAUUGGGUUUAAAGGGAGCGUAGGUGGAUUGUUAAGUCAGUUGUGAAAGUUUGCGGCUCAACCGUAAAAUUGCAGUUGAAAAUGGCAGUCUUGAGUACAGUAGAGGUGGGCGGAAUUCGUGGUGUAGCGGUGAAAUGCUUAGAUAUCACGAAGAACUCCGAUUGCGAAGGCAGUUCACUGGACUGCAACUGACACUGAGGCUCGAAAGUGUGGGUAUCAAACAGGAUUAGAUACCCCUGUAGUC